rnacentral:lncRNA from 1 species
GUCACAAUAAUUGUGGUGUGCUGCAGCCCUGAAAAAAUUCGUGACAAAUUAUGUUGCAAAGGUGGCAAAGUAAUCAAAAGCAUUGAAAUCAAAGCGCCUCCAAAGCCCAAAGAGCCCGAAAAAAAGCCCAAAGAACCCGAAAAUAAACCCAAAGAGCCCGAAAAGCCGAAAAUUGUUGUCAUCGAAAAGCCCAAAGAGCCCGAAAAGCCGAAAGUCGUUACAUUCGAAAAGCCUAAAGAACCCGAAAAGCCGAAAGAGAAGCCCAAGUCCGACGGACCUCCUAAGGAGGCUCCGAAGGGCGCUGAGCCGGCUAAAAAACCGGAAGCGGCCGCCGCGAAGCCGCAGCCGUCGGCGGAGCCGGCGAAGGGUCCCGAGCCGGUUCCGGUGAACGGAGUCCCGUCGGUUUUCCCUUACGUGGGGCCGAGUUACGAUGGUUAUAGCUCCGGCCCGUAUUACCAUGGCUACGGGUUUCCGCCGCCGCCGCAGCCGUGUUACGAAGGGUAUUAUGGGAAUGCCAAUGGGUACGGAUACGGGUCGGGGACCGGGUACGGGUACGGGUCCGGGUAUGGUAGGGUUGGUCAAGUCAACAGAUCUGAUAACUACUUCAGUGAAGAAAACCCUCAAGCUUGCUCCAUCAUGUAAUUGCCAUAUAUAUCCAUCUUUUUUUCCAAUAUUAAUAUUAAAGAUUAUUAUAUAUAUAUUAUAUAGAAUAAAUGAGAUUUAAAAAAAAAUAAUAAUAGUAAUUACUACAGUGUCGGUGGGGAAUUGGAUAUUGGUUGUUACUUGUUAAUGGUGGAUGGUUCAAUUUUAUAAUAAUGUUUUAUUUUUGUUUGUAUUAGUGUAAGUUGUCAACACUAAUCAUUGAUGGCUCUUUUUUGAAUACCUUUUUAUGGUUUAUUAUAUUAUUACUUUAUUUUCUUGUCCUAUUUAAUCUAUUUAAUUAUCCAUUUUUAGGCAAUUCAAUUAUAUUGGUGGUGGAAUUGAUGAUAAGAUAAGAUGGCACCAAUUGAGGAUGCUAACAAAAUAAAUUUGUUUCUAGUGUCCCAAUUUGUUAUAUUGAUUUUGAUAUUUGAUUGGUCACGAGCUUUACAAAGUCCAAUUUAUUUAUCAAUUAUAUGCUUUAAUAUUUAAUAUUUAUUUGCCAAGUGAAAAAACAAUAACUGAAAUGAUAAAUGUCCUCGUUUGUUUAAUUUCAAAUGUUAUUUGAACUUCUUUUAACACUACUUGUCUCGUUAAUUUGACUUAUAUGAUGUGCUGCAACCGAUGAAUUGCAUCGGGUGAUUAUUAACCGUUGAUUGAUUUGCACAUUCAUGUGUAUUUGUGCCUAGUGUUGAUUAUUUAACCACAUUUACCAGAUGUAGUAUCUCAAUAACCCAUAAUUAGGUGGUGUUUGGAACCGGUGGAUCCCCAUGGGUCUCUUAGUCCNNNNNNNNNNNNNNNNNNNNNNNNNNNNNNNNNNNNNNNNNNNNNNNNNNNNNNNNNNNNNNNNNNNNNNNNNNNNNNNNNNNNNNNNNNNNNNNNNNNNNNNNNNNNNNNNNNNNNNNNNNNNNNNNNNNNNNNNNNNNNNNNNNNNNNNNNNNNNNNNNNNNNNNNNNNNNNNNNNNNNNNNNNNNNNNNNNNNNNNNNNNNNNNNNNNNNNNNNNNNNNNNNNNNNNNNNNNNNNNNNNNNNNNNNNNNNNNNNNNNNNNNNNNNNNNNAAUCGAAAAAAUAGGUCAUAGAUGCCGUUAAAAUAUAGUCAAAACAACUUAUUUUAAACAUAGCAAAAACAAAAGGUGAUUUUACAAACUCCUAAAAGACUGAUUAUAAGCCAAAAAAAAAAGAAGCUCAAAAUCUAUUUUUAAAAGCUCUAGCAAACACCACCUUAAUCACAAAGGGCAAAUUGGCUAAGAAAUGAAUCAAUAAUAAUAUGUUUGCAUUUUGAUAUAUCCCAUCGGUUAAGCCCAAUGGGCCCAACUUUUCAAAAAAAUAAUAAAGCCCAAUAGGCCGAAAAAAUAUUAAAUUUAUUAUAUAAAGAAUUAUUAUAUAAUUAAUUUUAAAAUUAUAUAUAUAUAUACUAAAUUUAUUUGUUCUCUGAAAAGCACCGCCCUUCUUCUGAUAAGGCCCUCCCUUGAACCCCAGAAACCAACGCCAAAAACCCACACACACACACAUACACAGAGUGCAGAGGUGGAGCAUUCAACAAUGGCGUACAAUCUGAGCGCGUCGCCGUCAACUUCUCUAUCUCACGAAACCCAUCUCUUCUGCAACUCUCUCUCUCCUCCAAAUCUCCAUCAACUCAGAACCCAUAAAAAUCUCUUCUUUCCUCUCAAAAUCCACCCCGGAAACCCCAAUCUCCGCGUCUCCUCCAGAGUUUCAUUACAAGAACUACCCGCCGCGAACACAGCCUCCCAAAAUUCCGGAACCCCAAUUGAAGAAAAACCCAUUUCGAAAUCCACCGCUUGGGUCAACCCCAAAAGCCCACGCGCCUCCAAAUUGAGGCAGAAAUCGCACGAUUACAGGCACGCCUCGUUAUUGAAGCUGGCCGAAUCUUUAGAUUCCUGCGCCCCCGUCGAAGAGGAUGUUUCGAGCGUGUUGAAUAUUCUCGGAGGUGGUGUAUUGGAACAGGACGCAGUGAUUGUUCUGAACGGAAUGUCGAAUACCGAAACUGCCCCUCUGGUGCUCGAUUAUUUUCGGAAGAGGCUGAAGGUGAAGAGAGAAGUUGUGCUGUACAAUGUGACCAUGAAAGUAUUUCGAAAGUGCAAAGAUUUAAUCGGGGCGGAGAAUUUGUUCACUAAGAUGCUCGAAAAGGGGGUUAAGCCCGAUAACGUAACUUUCUCGACGCUGAUUAGCUGCGCUAGGCAGUGCUCGUUGCCCGAGAAGGCGGUCGAGUGGUUCGAGAAGAUGCCGUCGUUCGGGUGCGAGGCGGAUAAGGUGACUUGUUCGGUGAUGGUGGAUGCGUACGGUAGAGUUGGCAAUGUGGAACUUGCGUUGAGUUUGUACGAUCGCGCAAGGAGCGAGAAGUGGCGGCUCGACGCGGUAACUUUUUCGACGUUGAUUAGGAUUUAUGGGUCGUUGGGGAAUUUCGAUGGGUGCUUGAAUUUGUACGAAGAGAUGAAGGCGUUAGGUGUUCGACCAAAUGCCUCCGUGUACAACUCUUUGUUGGAUGGUAUGGGGAGAGCUAAACGACCGUGGCAAGCGAAGAAUAUUUAUCGUGACAUGGUGAAAAACGGGGUCGAGCCCACUUGGGGCACUUACGCAGCGUUGCUUAGGGCGUAUGCUAGGGCCCGAUACGGAGAAGAUGCGCUCGCGGUGUAUAGAGAGAUGAAGGAGAAGAAAUUGGAGUUGAGUGUUGUGCUGUACAACACUCUCUUGUCCACGUGUGCUGACGUGGGAUUGGCUGAUGAGGCUGUCGAGAUUUUCGAGGAUAUGAAGAGUUCGGGUACGUGUAUGCCCGACAGCUGGACGUUUGCGUCGUUGAUUACGAUAUAUUCUUGCAGUGGGAAAGUCGAAGAGGCCGAGGCGAUGUUGGAUGAAAUGGUGGGGUCCGGUUUCGAGCCUAAUCUCUUCGUCUUAACGUCGUUGAUACAGUGUUAUGGAAAAUCAGGCCGGACGGAUGAUGUUGUAAGGACUUUCGAUCGGAUGUUGGAGCUGAAUAUAAAGCCGGACGAUCGGUUCUUCGGUUGUUUACUUAAUGUAAUAACACAAGCACCGAUCGAAGAUUUGGGCAAGUUAACCGAUUGCAUCGAGAGAGCCAAUCCGAAGUUAGGCCACGUCGUGCAGCUUCUUGUCAACGGAGACGAAAAAAAAGCCGAAGGUGAAAUCUUGAAAAAGGAAGCCGGCGAGCUUUUCGGGUCGAUUAGCGUCGAUGUGAAAAAGGCAUACUGCAAUUGCUUGAUUGAUCUGUGUGUUAAUUUAAAUCAGUUGGGUAGGGCUUGUGAGUUGUUGGAGCUAGGGUUAGGGUUGGAGAUAUACACCGACAUUAUGUCGAAAACCCCGAUGCAGUGGUCUUUGCAUUUGAAGAGCCUCUCGUUGGGGGCUGCGUUGACCGCGCUGCAUAUAUGGAUGAACGAUUUGUCGAGGGCGAUUGAAAACGGGGAGGAGUUGCCUUCUUUGCUCGGGAUUAACACGGGGCACGGGAAACAUAAAUUUUCGGAAAAGGGCUUAGCUGGCGUUUUCGAGGAUCAUUUGAAGGAGCUGAACGCUCCUUUCCACGAGGCCCCGGAGAAGAUCGGGUGGUUUUUGACUACUAAAGUUGCUGCCACAUCGUGGCUCGAGUCGAGGCGUUUGACUGAUGUGGCUGCUUGAUCGAUACUCCGAUUUUUUGGGGUAAGUGUUUUUUUUUUUUUUAUUGAAUUUUGUUGAAUCUGCUGAUAAGAGGAAUUUUUGUUUUAUUCUUGUUUUGUUAGUUGAGUGUGGGCUUUAGGCGAUUAUAUAUCGAACAACUCUCGUUUGUUAUUGUCAUGUUUGUAUCGUUGCUGUUCGAUGAAGUGUGUUUUAGUGAGAUCGUUGUCUUUAAAUUCGAAAGAUGUGUAUUUAUGAUUAUCGAAUACGGAGACUAAAAAUUAUCUGGUUUGUUUAUAUGCAAUAAUCUGUAAUUAGUAUCGACCUCUGUCGAGUGUCGACCCUAACGAUUUUUUUAAGGUUUCAUUAACAGAACCUUAAACCAAAGUCAUAGGUUUCUUGUUUUCGAUUCGCAAUAGGGGAAUACUAUUAAAAAGGUUGUAUUGCAAGCAACCUAUAAGCCAAUGCAGGAAAUGAAAAUGACCGUAUUACCCUUCGAGUGUUUACGUUCAUAAUUGCCACAAAGGGACGAUGAAGUAAUUUUACAGAGAGAAGGGGUGACACCGUAAGAUUGGAAUAACCAAUUAGCUGAGGAAAGAAAGAACGGUGUAUCUGUUAAGCAAAGAAUCUGUGUAAAUUAGGCUAUCAUAUCGAAAAUCGAAAAUAAAAAGCCCGUAAAAUCCCGUUUCGAUUAGGCUAUCAUAUCGGAAAUCGAAAAUAAAAAGCCCGUAAAAUCCCGUUUCGAAAAGAACGUGCAUUUCAAAAUGGAAAUCUAUUCCGUGUUUUUGCAGCACAGAUUCUUCUUAUCUGCAGCAGUAGCCUUGUUGUUAAGCCUGGCAUGUUUAUUGACCAUUAUGCCCCCGGUAAUUAGCGUCCUCUAUUAUUUCUGGCCUCUUUUCGUCUCCACAGCUAUAGCUUUGGUGGCUAUAAUUGUAAUUGGCCAAAUAUCGCCUAUACCUCGAGAAUUCUCCGAUGAAAGACAAGGAGAAGCGCUGUUGGAUUACGUUGCGGGAAAACAAGAGUCGCUCGAAAAUUACUAGUAGUGAUUCCGAUUUGAAGAUGAUUAACUAGACUCGAUAAUUACGUUGUAUUAUCUUUUAUCUUUUUUUUUAUUCGACGUGUACUUUUUUUAAUAAAGAAAUUUCGGAAUUGUAAAAAACUAACGAAGCUUCGAAAUUUAAUAAUAUAUAUAUGUUAUGUGCAUGACUGUUACGUAUUUCCUCAUUUUCCGAAUAUAGAUCUUCAUCUUCUUCUUCUUUGUAUUGAACUGUAACACUAAAUGUAGUACCUGCAUAUUGAAUGGAUGUUGCAUUUUCUUGAACUACGAAACCAUCUUCACUCUUGACGAGUGUUGCGUAGUGAUCCGAACCCGAGUGGGUCCCGGUGAGUUUCGUGUUGUUCCUGGCCAGAAUGAUGGGGAUUCCAUUGCAGUCCAUUGCAGACCAAGAACACGAACUUCCUAUCCAGAAUCUGAUCAAGAAUCGGCAAAAUCGAAGUCGAAAUUUUAGGAAAUCGUCAAGUGUGAACGACUGAAAAAAUGUACCUCGAUAAAUUAAUAACAUUGUUUAGAUAAUAAUUUCUUACGGUCCGGACUCGGUAAAGACGUACUAAAUUAUUAGCUCGAUAAUUCAAUAUUUGGCAAAAUUAAUAGAAUUUUGUCGGUCCCGACUAUAUUAAUUUAUGGAGGUUUAACAGUAUAUGGUGAAAUAAUUAGGCUAGGCUUGUUCUUUUAUAAGGCCCAAUGUAUAUAUAUAUUUUUUUGAAAUUGAAUUAUUGAAAUAAAUAUAAAUGUGCUCUUGUGGGGAUUGUUUUAUUUACAUACUAAAAUUUACAUAAAUUAAUUAAAAUAAAUAAUUAAAAAAAAAAAAAAAAACGAGGUGGUCGGAAGAAAAAAGACAAAACAAAAACCUGUGCAGAGUGCAAACAAAUCCCACGAAACAUUUGUGGUACAUUACAGUAAUGCUAUUUUGCCUUUGCUAACACCACCUUCUCUCCUCUCUCUCUCUCUCUCUCUCUCUAGAGCUUUCUCUCUCUUCUCUCUUUCUCAAAUGUUCUUGUUUUUUGUUAAACCCAUUCUCCACCUUCAUAAACCCUUUUGCCGCCAUAGUUGUCACAAUAAAUUAUCUGCUCUAAAACUGAACGCAUGCUUUGAAUUUUUCCGGGGUUACUUUUUUUAUUAUUUCUCUGGGUUUAUUUUAUCUCCGAGUUUGGUUCUUUGUCCUGAAGCUGUUUCUGCAUUUUAAGGUUUGUGGGAUUUUUUUUAAUUUUUUUUAAUUUUUUAAAUUUUUUAUUUUUAUUUUGCUUGUCAUGUAAUUCUUGGUUGCGGCAUGUUCAUUUUCAGACACCGUGUGUGUGUGUGUGUAAUGGUUUUCGAUUUUACGAAAAUAAAAUCAAUUUUUCAGACCAGUAAUUAAAGAAAUUUAAGCUUCUCUAUUUAUUUAUUUAUUGAUUCUUGUUUGCCAUGUUUAUUAGAAACUAGAAAUUAUCCUACAAUUUUUCGCAGAAUUUCGAUUUUUUUUUUUUUUAACAACCGUAAUUGGAAUUGCUUAUUUCCUGAAAAGGGUUUUUCAUUAUGCUAUUACUUGUUCAGAAUGUCUGAAAAUCAGGUUCUGAAAGCAUGGGAAGAGCGAGUAAUUUCGUCGGAGAAGGGGAAUCGGAUUAUUCACUAUAUACUAAAAGAUUCCACCGGAGAUUCUCUUCUUGCGGUGGUGGGGAAAGAGAGGAGUAUUAACCACAUGUGUUAUACAGUUUCAGAGGAAUUCUUACAUGCAAUGGGGCCCACAAGCACCGCCCACUCAUCGACAAAGUGGCGGUCAAGGCGAGAUGUUGUUGAGUGGCUCGUUUCGCUAGUCUCGGAAAACGGACCGAUCUUUGCUAACUCGAGUACGUAUAAUUAUUGCCCGUUUAGCUUAAAUAUUUGCAUGUUUACAAUUUAUUCAAGAUUGUGGUAAUGAAUCUUGAUCAGUAAUUCGAUUAUGUUGUUUUUGAAGAAAUGAUACGUAUUUCGAGGGUAAAAUUAUCGAAUGAAUUCGAAAGGGGGAAGAAAUGUAGCUGUUUUAUUUAGUUUAGUACCUAUUUUAACUCGACUUCGUCGAUCUUAUUUUUUCCCAUUUGGAUUAUGUUUUACGUUUGAAAUUUGUUCUUCUCGUUCGAUUUGUUAACCGAUUUAUCUGUCCUCUAAAAAAAAGCAGCCAAUCCUUCGACUCUUAAACGCCAAAUCAUACAGAAAAGCAAGAAGAAUCGACAGACUACAACUCCCGAAGAACUUCCGAAGCGAGCUUUCAAGAAAAUCAAACUCUGCAUGCUAUUAAAUCACACGCUCGAAAACACUACUAGCCUUGCGGGUCCCACAAAAUCGGACCCAACUAAUCAUAAGAAAUUGUUGAAAAUGAAACCACCCGAGCCACAAACACUGUCCGAAUUCAACACGAAUAUCGAGCUUCUCAGUCAAGACAAAGGCAUGCAAGGCUGCUGGUUCAGAUGCAAGAUACUCCGUUCAUCGCAAACUCGUGUUAUGGUUCAGUACACGGAUGUCUCGAAAGUUGGCGAACCCGGAAAACUAGAGGUAUAUAUACAUAUACAGAAGAUGCAUACGCAUAUACAUACACGUGUAUUGAUCGACUUGUCUAAAUUGUGUAGGAAUGGGUCCCGGCGUACAGGGUGGCGAAUCCGGAUAAACUUGGAGUGAGAUGUGGGACCCGCCUUACGAUUAGGCCUCGGCCUUGUAAGGAAUCUUGUGAAGAAACUAGGUUUGUUGUCGGAGAUGCGGUUGAUGCAUGGUGGUGCAAUGGGUGGUGGGAAGGUGUCGUAAUUGGUUACGACUCACUUGCUAAACGUAAUCUUCAAGUUUACUUCCCCGGUAAGUCUUUGAUUAGUCGUGAUUAAUUUAAUUAUUGGACCUUACCAACCAAACGAGGCCUUACAAAAUACCGAGGAUUUGAUAAUGCGGUGAUCAUUUUACGGCAGGUGAGAACAGGUUUUUGACAGUUGAGAGAAAGAACACUCGAGUUUCAAAAGAUUGGAUCGAUAGCCAAUGGGUGAAUAUAAAGGCGAAGUCCAAUAUACUCUCGUUCCUAUCUUCGAUUUUCAGCACGAAACUACUUCCUCCACUCCCCGUUUUGGCUGAUGCUGCCAGCUGUGCACCUGGCAAUAGCAAAAUUCUCAAACCCGAGCAACUUCAAGUGAAUGAAGAUGAUAAAUCUGUAGAGGGACUUAAUUUCAAGAAACGGUUUAUAAGUAGAUAUAAUGAAAGUAUAUCUCGUGCUUCUGGUUAAGCGAGAACAACGAAAUUCCCCUUUUUUUUUUGCUGGCAGCUUAAAAUUGUGAAGCAGUUGGUAUAGUUGAAACUGCUUUAGUAAGCCUAAGUAUUAUUUAUAGCAGUGUACAUAUUUUGGCUGUGUAUAAAUUUCUCAUCAAUUAUUCUGUAAUACCAAUCCAGCUGAAUUUACAAAAAAAAAAAAAAAAUCGAAAGAAUUACAACCGUUUGAUCUAUAGAAGUACUCAAAUCAAGAAAAACUUCAGUAAGAAUGGUGAAUGAAUUUUCAGAUAAAGCUCAUAUCAGCCUAAAGAUUGCCAUGAAUACUCGACUAGAAGAGCCUAAUUCCGAGAUUAAAAAAAAAUUGAAAAAAUGGUAGCCGAUAAAAUUCUCAAAUCGAACAAUUGCAGAAAAAAACCCGAAUUUGAUGGCCGAUAUAUUUACAUCAUGGCUGAACAAUCCCCUUCUUCAUAAGAAUAUUGUAAACUUUGUCGAUCUUGAGUGGGUCGAUUCGAAAGAAUGCAUAGGCAUCAGAUUUCGUCUUUAUUUUGCCGCUCAGAAUUAGUAUCGACAUUCGCUCCUGCAUUUUCAGAUACUGUUUUGGAACUAAUCCCAUUUCUUGGCAAAGCUUCAUCUCCUGCCAACACACAAUCACAGUACAUAUAUAAAAAUAUUGCACCAUAUGGGGUGUUUUUGCGAAUAUUAAUAAUAAGAGACCCUUCUUAGCAAUUAGCUAUAAUACAGGGGACUAAAUGCAAUAAACUCCAAUAUAUUCGGAAAAAAAACUGCACACACUUACAGAUUCAGACAGUAAAUUGGCAGCAGAAACAGAGGCAGAAUCGAGGUCAGUUGACGAGUUGCCUUGGCCAGCAGAUGUUGUAGUUGAGUAAGUACCGAACGAAUCGGAAGAUACCGGAAUAUUCCGGCUCUCCUGGCUGCUCUGCCCCGCCUGAGAACUCUCUUUCCGGCGAGCAUUAUCCUCCGCUUCUCUCCUCCUCUGUUCAAAAUAUCUAUCCGCUUCAGCCGAUGUACGACACCCCACAGCUCGUGCCACCUACAAUAAAAUAUUCAAUUUAAAUUAAUUUCCAAGAAAAAUAAAUAAAGUUACAAUAUUAUUUUUGCAGUAUACCCUACCUUGAGUUCAACCAUUCGUCUUUUAAUCCUAUGUGCUGAAAUCACACUUUUUAUUAGUUCUUCGUGCUCCUCUUUCGUAUGCAAACGCAUCAAGGGGUCGUAUUUUCGGACUAUCUCCUUCUCCUCUUGACUCAGUUCCCCAAACGGACUUGGAUCUAGAAGAUUCCUUUCCACAAUAAAAUCCUUCCUCCUUUUCCUCUCGUCCAGCCUGUCAAAUCGCAUUUAAAACAUAUUUUACGACGAAGACAUAUGGAAUACGGUUAUUAAAAAAAUAAAAAAAUAAAAAAUACCUCUUUGAAUAUAUACGGAGCACUCUGAUUUUCAACUCACGCUCGACUUCUGUAUCGUUUUCUUUAAAUUCCAUGUCAGCUAGUAAUUGUUCUGCAUCAUUAUCGUAUUCGACAUCGAAUUCUUGUCUUUUAGGGUUGUAACCAAUUGCAUCCAUUAAAGAUGGGGCUUUUGCCUUUGUCGAUUUAGGUUUGUUUCCACCAAAACUCCGCCCUGAUAUAUGAUGUACCGAUAAUACAUUAAAGCUUAAAGUGACAGAAAAAAAAAAUUAAAUUAAAAUAAAUAAUAGUUUCCACCAGAAAUUUACCCACCCUCGGUUUUCGGAUUUUCUCCCUGAUCUUUCGCGUGGGACAUGUUGGAUGCCUUCUUAUUAACUUUGGCUCCUGCAAUUUUUUAAUUUUUAUUUUAGUUUAGAAUCAUUCGAGAAUAUCGUUUCAAUAAUUAGAACAUAAUUGUGAUUACCGGCACUGGAGGCGGCUGAAGGCAAACGGCCUGACGAACCGCUUUUGUACGAAUCUUCAACCCUAAGAAAAAUAAAAAGAGUACGAGUUUAAAAGGUGUUUUCGAGAUAGUGUUACACAAUAUUUGUACAUAAACAGUUACUGUACUUGACUCGUGACGGGGAAAACGGGGUUUCCUCUUCUAGUUUCAAUUCCCCUGCAAAGGAAGGCAGUUAGGGUCGACUUUUUUCAGAUAAUACGGUAAAUAAAUCCCUAAAUCUAAAAAUUCAGUCAAAAAACAAAAAAAAUAAAAAAAUAAAGCAGAACGAACCUAUUUUGUCCUGAAGAUUCCCUUUACCCAUUGCAAGGAGUUCGUUUCGAUUUUUUCCAUCAACAUGUGACAUAUCCUGACAAAGGAAAUGCAUUUUAUCAUUUUACGAUAAAAAAAAUAAAAAAAUUAUUACAACCUUACAAAAAUGCAUACCGGUAGAGGAAAGUAAGGAGAAUUAAGGUAAGCAUUCCGAUAAUGUUCGAUACACAUUUCCUUUGUCUUGGUUCCGACAUGCUCAGCAACUUCUGCCCAAUUUCCCAUUCCAUACAUUUCAAGUCCCUGCUCGAGUGGUAUAAGUGAGGCAGAUAAAACGAUAGAAAUUCGAAAAAUAAAAUAAACGAGUUACAGAGAAAAAAAUAAUCACCUCCAACAGUAACAUUUCUUCAUCAGCAUUCCAGUCGGGAGUAAUGAGAGGAAACGACAGAGUGUCCUAUACAUAUCACGAAUUUCCAGUAAUAUAUUAUUUAAUAAAAAGAGAAAUGGCACGAAAAAAAAUUAAGUUAAAUAUCGUUAGAUGAUGUACUAACCAUAACCCGAUAAGAAUGAGAACUUUUGUGUGGAUGGACUUCAGCCCCGACUGAGAAGCACUCUACGCAUAAGUCGAAAUCAGAACACACGGCACAUUUCAUACGAAUUCGCCCUGUAAUGUCUUUGUUGCAAUAGUUACAAUGGUACAGUGCCCCUUUUCCGUCUGUGGUUCCUUGCCCUGAGUAAUCAAGAACACGACACAAAAAUAAAUAUCUCGAAUUUUGCAGAAUCCAAUCAGACAAGAACAGAAAGUCGGAAACUAUAUAGCAUCACUUGGCGAAUGACUCAAUUCUUGAAGAUAUAUACAAACAAUAUAAGACCAAUGAACAAUGAUUUUUUCUUUAUGUGCCGUAUGCUGAUUUUUUUCUAUUGAGAUAUCGAAAUCUAAGGUAUGAUACAGAUCCAUUUACGAAAUGUCAAUUUAACUUGUAAGAGAAGAUAUGUAACCUGUCGAAGAAGAUUCAAAAUUUUCUCCACUAGAUGCAUUCUUUUUUCUCCUUGAUCUGCCAAGAAAUACAGAGUAUGUCCAAUUAAAAGAAAAAUACAAUUUCCGACAUCACUCGGGAACCAAAUGAAAUUAGUGAAAACAAUAGAGUAAAUGUUGAGACGAAAUUGAGAUUGACGGAGUAUUGGAUUCGGUAAUGAAAGUUAACAUACUCCCACAUACUAAAAAGUUCAUUAUACAUGAGAAGGCAAAACAUAAAUUACAUAAAAAACGGAAAAGCCAAAACAAUAAAGAAAAUGCAAUCUACUGCCAAGAAAUAUAGAGUAUGUCGAAUAAAAAACACGAUUUCCUACAUAACUCCAGCCUAAAAAACUCAAGAACCGAACGAAAUUAGUAAAGCAAUAGCAUAUACGUUGAAACGAAAUUGAACUCGAUACUGAAAGCUAACAUACUCCUACAUACUAAAAAUUCCAUUGCAGAUUAUGUAAAAAAACGAAAAAGCCAAAAACCAUAAAGAAAAUGCAAUCUACAGCCAAGAAAUACAGAGUUAUUUCAAAUACAAAACACGAUUUCCUACAUAACUCCAGCCAAAAAAAACUCAAGAACCGAACGAAAUUAGUAAAGCAAUAGCAUAUACGUUGAAACGAAGUUGAACUCGAUACAGAAAGCUAACAUACUCCCACAUACUAAAAAUUCCAUCGUAGAUUAUGUGUAAAAACGAAAACCAAAAAGAUAAAGAAAACUGCAAUGUUACAUGUCAUGAUCAGAGCUAGAAGGAUUUUCUUCAUGAUCCAUUUCCGAGAAAUUAAGAGAAACGAGAAAAAACUUUAAUCAGAUAAGAACAGAAUAUUGGGAAUUCAAUUUCAUUCCAUCCUUUUAUAUACACUUGAAUUCCUAUCAGUUGAGGUAACUGCUAACUCACUAUGGCUAACUGAACCAACUAACAAACUCAGUAACCGCAAAUCCUAACAGUACAGUAGCAUUAUCAAACACUAUACUAAUUACCAUUUCGCCCCAAUUUGAAUACAACGGUAUAAUAUGCAGCCACUAAGAAGUAAGAACUCUCGCAAUUAAGAAAAAACCCCAAUAAAUACGAAAAAUUGAAAAUUGAAAAUUAGAAAUCAAACCUUUGACUGGGAUCUUCUCCACCAUGAAAAUUUCCACGGGAGCGACCCAUUGAUCGGCCGAUUAAAAAGAAAAAAAAUUCACAUAAUUUAUAUAAAAAUAAUUGUUUUUUUUUAAAUUUACUCUUAAUUGAUCUUUAUAAUUCCAAAACGAGGAUAAUAAAAUUUCAAUUUCAGGUGCUUAAUUUGAGGAAAAUAUAUAUGCUUCGAAUUCCUAAGAACCCUAAUUUACACGAACAAACUAUGCGCUUUUCCAGUUCCUUCCAUUUCUUUUUUUCUUUUUUCAAUUUUAAUUUUCGUAUCAUUCGUUGACUUUCACGUUUAGUCAAAUAAUACUAUAUAAAGAUAUUUAAUUUAGGGCUAAAUACAGUUUGCACCCUUAAACUAUAAGGGUGGUAACACUUACCCCUUAAAGUUAUAAAUGUAACACUUACCCCCCUCAUUAAUGAAUUUAAAGGUAUAACUUUGACUUUGAAUGAUGUGGCAUUUUUUCUUCCCAAAUUGUCCUUCUAGCCAUUAAAUAAAUAAUGAAUAUCUAAUAAUAAAAAAUUCGGCAACUUUGCCAAAACUUAAUUUUAUUAUUUCAAUAUUGUAAAUUUAUGAAUGAAAAAAAUUGAAUUUUAGUUUAUUUUUGUUUUACCUUGUGUUCAUUUGUAGCUAAUAAAAAGUUAACGAUUAUUCGAAUUUUAAUUAUAAUUUUAUAGUUUAUAUAGUUAUUUUAAUGCGUAUAUGACUCUAAUAUAAUCAUCUCACUUUUUACUUUGAGAAUCACAAAAUGUAUUCAAAAGUUAAUAAGAAAUUAUAAUUUAAACGUCUAAAUAUUUAAAUAUUAUUUUAUUAAAAUUUAUUUUUAAGUAACUUAAAUAAAUUUUCAAAUCAAUAAUUAUUAUAAAAAAAUUGGCCAUUUAAGUCUUGAAUAUUUUUUUCUUGCGAAUGUUUAACGUAUUUUAUAUAUUUUUUAAAAUAUUGAGAUUUUUAUUUAUAUUAGGCUCUAUAGUAAUUAAAAUAUGGAGUUAAACAUAAAUCAAAAUAUUUUUUUAAUAAUUAUUAUAUUUUAUAAAUUUUAGUUUUUGAUAUAUUAUUGAAAAUAUUUUAUUAUAUAUGCAUCAAUAUAAUAGCUAGAAGGACAAUUUGGAAAGAAAAAAUGCCACAUCAUUCAAAGUCAAAGUUUAUCAUUAAAUUCAUUAAUGAGGGGGGUAAGUGUUACAUUUGUAACUUUAAGGGGGUAAGUGUUACCACCCCUAUAGUUUAAGGGUGCAAAGUGUAUUUAGCCCUUUAAUUUAUUUUAUUUGCGAGAAUUUUAUUUAUAUUCAUAUUUUUUAAAAUAUAUUUCAUUAUUAUGAUUCCGGGCUUUUAUAUUAUGCUCUUAAAUAUUUACUGGCCCAAAGUUUGAUCACACACCAAUAAACUUGAUCCAAAUAGACAAUGCCCAUUAGGAUCAAAAGUAAAAUUAGAUACCGAAGUGAAAAAUUGGAAAUUCGGGUAUGGCUGGAAAUCGGAACGAAAUUUUUGAAUUCCGUCGAUUUCAAUCGAAACGUAUCUGAAUUUGAAACCGCUUUCCUAAGCCGGUUUCCAAAUUUCUGAUUUUGCAUUUUUUCAAUUUACUUUGGUACGUAACUGACAUUGUAUAUGAAGUUCCCAAAAUUUCCGAUAAUUUAUUCGAUUUUAGUUCCGAAUAUUCAAUUUUUCCAAACAAUAUAAUAUUAUAUUAUAUAUAAUAAAAAAUAACUUGAUGAUAUGUUUUAUAAUUAUAAUAUAAUUUUAUGAUAUAUUUUAUACAAAGACAUAAUUACCUAAGGCCUAAAUAACUAAAAAACCAAGCAGCCUACUUUUUAUCAUAUUUCGCCCGGUGGACUUGCAAACGAUCGGAAAAUUUCAAAAAUCCGAUCAUUUCCGUGUUUGGAAAAAAAAUAUUGUAUCUUAAUAUAAUUAUCGAAUUCCAAAAUUCCGUCAAUUGCAAGGCAUUCAAAAAUCAGAACGGAUUUUUGAAUCCCAAUUUUUUGGAUCUAGAAUUGGUACCAAUUUUCAACUUCUAAAAAUAAUUAGAAAAUCCUCGAAAAAUCAUUUCCAAUUUCAACACAAAUAAACUUGAUCCAAAUUGACAAUGCCCAUUAGGAUUAAAAAGGAAAAUAGAUAUGAGAGUCAAGCCCGUGAAAAAAUCGGAAGGAAAUGUUUGAAUCCCGCCGAUUUCAAUCCGAACAUUUCCGAAUUUGAAUCCGCUUUUUUUUUUUUUUUUUUUUUGGGUUUGCAAAAUUCUGAAUUUUACAUUUUUUUCAAUUUUUUGUGGAACCAAACCGAAAUUUCUAUAUCUAUAUCUAUACUAUUUCUCUCUAUGAUAAGAUUUUGAGGGUAGUUAGGUAAUUGAAUUGGUAUUUCAUUAUUUCAAUUUUACAAUAAUAAUAAUAAAAAUUAAAUUACAUAAUGUAUUAAAAGAAAAGACCAUCAUACAGUCAUAAACAUACAGUGGGAAUAAUAAUUAACUUUCUAAUAUGAAAAUCGAUAGAUAAACGUUGCGGAUGAUGCUCCCAGGUGUAUUCGGCGUGGCACGUUCAAUGAUUACAUACAAAAGGGAAGCAAUAUCACUUUCCGGCAAAACAUACGCCAACCAUUGUAUAGCCUUAUAGGUAAAUUGUGUUUGUAAUCGCGCGCGCUUGUUCGUCUUUUUUAAAUUGUGAUUCGUGUUUGAUUAUAUACGAUUUAUGGUCAUAGUUUUUUACAGCUUGUAUAAUGGUUAACCAUUGCCAUAAUGAAUAUGUUAUUGAUUCAUGUAAGGAGUCUUCAAUUGUGGGAGAGAAGAGUUUGUUUUGUUUUUUAAGCUUUUUUUCUUUGUUAGGAUUGCAUAGGGCUGUGUUUGGGACAAAAUUAAGAAAUUUUGGAAUUCGGGAUUCCGGAUUGAUUUUGAUGUUCUAUUCAAUGUUUUGAAACCCGGACCGGACCGGCCGGUCCAACCGGUUUAACCGCGAACCGGUGGGUGGUCCGGUCUGGUUCAACCCAAAAACCCGCAAGGUGCAAAAAACCGGUUGAAUAGCUAAAAACCGGUUGAAUUACCGGUUCAACCGGAAUACCUCAAAACCGGCCAGAACCGGGUUUCUGAAAAAUAAAGAGCAGGGGGCUGAUUUCUUGCAGUGGUGGUCUGGAUCUGGAGAUUAAAAGUAAAUCUUGUAUGCCAAUGGAUUAAAAGAAGAAAAUAUAAGAAGAGUAAGCAAACGAAAACGAGAGUUAUAUGACUGGGUAGCUGAAUCUAAGGGCUUGAGUAAGAACUUGGGUGGUCGGAAAUAAGAAGAAACUUCUGGUGGCGGCUUGGAUGGUGAGUAGAUGGAAUUGAAAGGAUGAGAGAGAGAGAGAGAGAGAGAGAAUUUGAACCGAAAGGACAAAAAAUUAAAAAGAUAAAAUAUUGGAGAUAAUUGAAAGAAAGGUAAAAUACUAUAAUGAACAAUAAAAAUAAAUAAUAAACAAAGUAAUGUAUAAUUACUUUUGUAAAAUUUAAACAUAUGGCUGCGUAUAUAUAUGAAUAUUUUGGUGUUUGGUAUUUAUGUUUUAUGUAUAAAUAUAUAUUAUUGGAUUUUUAAUUGAUAUUUUUUUAAUAUAAUUGUAUUAAAACUAUAUAAAAAUAAUAAAUAGACGAAAAAAUACAAAAACCCGGUUGAACCCCGGUUGAACCGGUCGAACCGUGACCCAGUUGGCCGUCCGGUUCGAUGUCCCGUCCGGUUUUCAAAACAUUGGUUCUAUUCAUGUUUUACAUUACUAAUAACUCGGUGUUUGGUGAAUACACGAUUAACCUUUGGAAUUCGGAAUUCAAAACGGGAAAUUUCAUAAUUUUAAGGGAUAUAGAUUUUAUUUUUUCUUCACUAAACCAUCUUCUGCCGCAAUGAUUAUCAAUUAACUGCAAGUUUUUCUCACUUUAAAUUAUUGCUUUAGACAAAAAAGAAAAAAACGGAACAUUUUUAUUGAAUUCCUAAAAUUCCGAAAAAAUUGAUUAUUUCUGAAUUUGGACAAACUAACGUAAUUUCCAAAAUUUUCGAGUUUCCGCCGUUCCGAGGCAUUCCAAAAUCAGGAAGGAUUUUUGAAUUUCGAUAGUUUUGGAACGAAAUUCAAAACCAAAUUUUAACUUCUGAAAAAAUCUUUUUUUUUUUUCAAAAAAAUCAUUUCCGACCCGUUACGUCUGAUUUUCAACCCAAACUAACACUAGAAAAAGUAUCUUCAAAUAAUAAAAAUAAAGAGUAUUGUCAAAAAAAAAAAAAAAACUGUUUGGUAAUGGUAUAUAAAUAUGGUUACAAAAGUAUUUUUCUAUUACCAAAAAAUAAUUUUUUUGUAACGAGUACAUAAAAUAGCUACAAAAGUGAGCAAUUGUUACGAAAACUUUUAUUAGUGACAAAGAAAAGCUUUUCAUUACAAACUGUAUAAUGUUGUGACAAACCAAUCAAAGAAUCUUAGUGACAUAUAAUUACGUUAUUAUUUUUCUCAAAAAGAAAAAAAAAACCUUAUUACAAUAGUCAUAGACUUUGUGUUCUUGAAAUACUCAUAUUGCAGUUAUUUAAAAAAAUAUACCUUUUUUUCACGUAUUUAUUCUGGUUUGAUAGUCUUGUAAAUAGUACUUCUCAUUCACUACUUUCUUUAAGUUCUCAAGUUAUUAGCAAAACUCAAAUUACAAAAAUAACAUAUUUAUUGACAAUUAUAUUUGUCAUAUAUAGUAUUUGUGACAUGAUCGUUAUUGGAUUAUAAAAUAUAAAUAUUUUGAAUUUUUAGUAUUAGUAAGGAAGAUAGUGUUCAUAAGAAAUUUUUGUAACAAUAUUAUUUAUGAUAUAAAUAAAUCAAAUGAAUAUUAAAAGCAUGUAUUGGUGACAAAUGAGUCUUUUCUAACAAUAAAAAAUUGUUUAGUGAGGAUAACUUUGUUACUUGUAAUUGACCUAUUGCAACGAAGGGUUUUUUGUCACCGCUUUUCGUAACGAAUUAGGGAUACGUGUUAUUAAAACUUCCAGCGUUGGGCUUUAGAGGACAAACAAGGUAACGAAACAAAAUCGUUACAAAACGUUUUCAUGAUGAAUUUUAUCCUAGAAAAAUAUUUGUUUUCUAGCCGUGAACAAGUAAAUAUAAAAGAUUAUCAAAUUAAUUCAGUUAACACGACACGUGAAACGCACGUGCAGCGCACGUGCACCUAUCUAGUGUAUAUAAAAUUUCCAAAAUUUCUGAUUUUUUUAAUUCCAUUUUAGUUCCGAAUAUUAUUUUGUUGUUUUCAAAAUAUAUAAUAUUUUAUAUUAAAUAUAAAUAAAAAUAAUUUUAUGAUAUGUUUUAUAUAUAAUUAAUUAUAUGAUAUAAGUUAAAUAUAUUUAGAUGAUGAAAAUGUGUUGAACCGUGAACCGCCGGUUUAGCCCAUCAGUUAACCCGAUGAAUUUCUUUUGUUUUAAGGUCAAAAAUCAACCGUUCAAUCCUUGUUUUUUGAUAUGAAUUCUUGCGUUCGAAUUUUGCCGUUUGAGACGUUUAAGAGAAAAAGAAGGAAAACAAAUCAAUUUAAGAGAAGAAGAAGGAAAACAUUUCCGUAACUCUUCCAGAUGCUCUUUGAAUGCUUACAUGGAAAGCGUUACUUUGUCGUUAUCGACGACCUAUGGGAGGACAAUCAUUGGGAUAGUCUAGAGGCUGCGUUUCCUCGAGAAAGUACAUAUUUUAUGUUCCCAACACCUCUUGAUUGUUAUCGAAUAUAUGUAUUAUGUGAUAUUUGUAUUUUUUUGUCUCAUCGUCAUAUGUAUAUAUGUUGUACAUUCUGCAGAUCCAUUUUGCUUGUUAGAACGUAUGAUGAAUUUGAGAGAAAAUAGUAAUUGGUUUACUUAACAAGAAAAUGAGACAAGUAUUAGUUCAUUUCCAUCAUUUUUGCACCUUUAUAUAGGUGCUGAAUCACAAACGAGAGUAUAGAAAAAUUAUAACAACACACCACUCCUAAAGACAUUGUACUGAAGUACGAUAGAAAAUUGAAAGUGAGAAAAAAUAAUUGAAGUUAGCUAACACUUCAGUUAAUUAGUUAAUGUCAUAAGUAUGAUCAUUAUGCACUCUUGUACUUGCUUGCAUAAUUGAUUAUUGGUACUGUGACAGACCUUGUAGGUAUAUGUAGCAUCUAAAGUUUGUUUCUUUUCUUGUUGUGACAGAUAAAUGAAGCAGAUUGCUGGUUACAGGUCGGAACAAAAUGGUGCUUUCAAGGCAUAACCCAUAUGUGCAUGGGAUGCAAGUUUUAGAUCGGGAGAAGGGCUUGAAGUUGCUUUUGAAGAAAGCGUUUCUUGAUAGAAGUCUCUAAAAUUUUGAAGGCAGUAACAUAUUCGCGAUAGUAGAGUUGAGUUUCUUUAAUUUGCCUCCUCUUCUUAAGCCGUGUUUCAUGUGCCUGAGCUUCUUUAGGGAGGACACAAAAAUUUGGUUAAAAAGAUUGGUGCACAUUUGGAUAUGCUAGGCCUACUUCCGUAAGCAAUUGGAGGAGAGACAGUGGAGAGCAUUGGCGCAUUUUAUUUCAACGAGUUGGUGAAUAGACACCUGGUUCAUAUUGAAAAGUUGACCAAAGAUGGCUCGGUUAAGACUUUCAAGAUGCACGACCUGAUUCACGAUCUUUCCAUCAUAAAGGCGAAGAAGGAAAUGCGAUUCGAUAUCUAUCGCCCAGAUAGGAAGUCGGAAUGCUUGGACAACCCUUGCCAUCGUGUCGUGUUCUGUGUCGAUGGUUGUGUGGAAAAAUUUAAUCAUUCAGAACAUCAUAACAAACAUAUCCGGUCGUUGUUUUUCCAAGGAUACAACUACAAUCAGAUUGAUAUGCGCCAAUCAUAUUGAAAGUCAUUCCAGCUCCUUCAACUUCUAGAUUUUGAGGGUUUCAAAAUGACCGAUGUCCCAGAUGCAGUCGGUCUCUUGACGGAACUAAAAUACUUGGGAUUGAGAAGCUCAAAUACAUAUAGGAUUAGCAAUCAGGUGUUGACUCACCUUAAAAAACUCGAGGUACUUGAUUUAUCUCACAAUGCGGAGUUGAAGUUGCCAAAUUCUUUUUGCAGAUUGGACAUGCUCCGUCAUCUAUAUACGGAUCUUGGGACUUUGGUGCCACUGAAAAUAGGCUCUUUGAAGUAUCUCGUGACUCUAGGUUCCGUAAAUUUGGAAGAUGGCACGCUUGAGAAGCUUACGCAUAUGAACAAUCUCCGAAAAUUGGGCAUGGUCAUUCAAGAAGACUCGUCGGAUACAAGUGAGCUGUGGACUUCAUUGGCUAGACUAGAGAACCUCGAGUGUCCAAUUUGAGAUUUGAUGGACUCCGCAACUUUGACGGGUUGUAGCAACAAAUUCUUAUCUGCGAUUUAAACAAACAAGAAAAACUUGCACAAAGAUAAUUUUAUUGAAUUAAAAUAAAAUAUUGCGGGUUACAAACUCUAAUUUAAUCCUCGGAUUCUUCUCUCAAGAACAAUAUUUUGUUUGACUUUGAAUUUCGGAGUCGGGUCGUUGACUUGAUCUUUUCCGGAUUUGAUUUGGAUUUGAAUAACGUCUUCCAAUGGUCUUGCUACUUGAAUCUCGGAUCGAACGCUGAAGUUUGACGGGUUUUGACUUGAAGAUCUUGGGGUUCUUGAUAGAUUUGGCCCUUCAAUCUUCCUUCGAUCUUGAUUUGUAGUUAAAGAUCUUGGAGUUCUUGAUGAAUUUGGCCCUUCAAUCUUCCUUCGAUCUUGAUUUGUUGAAGAACGCCCUCGAUUUGAUGAAGAACGCCUUGAAUUUGUUGAAGAACGACUUGAAUAUUGUAGAGAGAAUUUUCUCCUACGAUUUUUCUUCUUCUUGAGUUGUGUUUUGAAUUGUGUAGAGAGGGUCCCUAUUUAUAGUGGUAGAAUAAGAGUCAUACUUAAAGUCUACUUGAUGACGUGGCGCGAUUUGAUUGGCUCUCUUUAAGAUAAUAUUUAUCUCUUAUAACUUGGAAGAGAAGUAAUAAUCCUAUUGGUCAAUAAUUAAUUGAUAAUUAUCUCCAUAACUUAUUUUGUAAGAUAAAUUAUAAUUUAAUUAGACACAAUUUAAUUGGCUAAUUUAAUUAACCAAUUAAUUAAUUUUAUGCGUCUACAGAAAGACUUGACAUGCUGCAGAAUCUUACUCACCUUAAACUCCGCCUUGAACUCCGAAGGGAAGUGAGCAACUUUCCCAGCGCCCAUGAUUUCCCACCAAAACUCUCUUCUUCGACCUUGAUCUCUGCUUGGAUUGAGCCUGAUAAGGUGAAUGAACUGGCCAAGUUGCCAGAAUUGGUACACCUCAAGUUGCUCGAUGUUAGGUACAAGUUCUUCUAAAUUCAGCCAUAGAUCCGUAGAACCAAAGAAAUAAAGGAAGAGAUAUAAAAACUGUAAAAUGAAUUAGAACGGCUCAGUUCCCUUUUCCAGUGUUCAUACAGUCGAUCCAAGGUCUGGUGGUAACACCAAAACGAAAACAAGCACCCAGCAACAACCACGAUCCAAACCCCAGAUCUGACCCCCCAAACUCACUCUGAGUUGACUCACCAACACAUGAACAGUCAACUCAGUGAAUAACUCACCCUCUCCACUCAGCACAAACCCGAUUUUCUUCACUCAGAACCACCGAAACCCUCACAGAAGAGGAUUAAGGUCAGAAAACAAUUGGUUUGAAUAAAAGGUGAAUCACACCUUGUCUCUCUCUCUCACCACAAUAUUUAUACACGAAGAUUCAACGGUCUUCAGCAUAAAUGAGUUGCGACGGCAAGGACACCCAUUGUCCGGCUAGACCUGCGACGGUGUCGCCGGAAAACGAUAAUGAGUGACGAUAUACUGUAGAGAGAGAAGGGGACAAGGAGAAUAGAGAGAAAUGGCGCAGUAGAGAAGUGCUGCUAGGGUUUGAGAGGAGAGUUUAAGAAUGGGGCAAAUAAAGGGCUGAGAUUGAAACCCCACAAUAAACGGUCCAAAUUUAGGUUUGACUGGAUCGGUGGGCUUAUGUUGCUUUGGGCGAUUUCAGGAAUUGGGCUACAAUUUAUUUAAGUACACGACCCAAAUCACUCUGAAAUAAUUUAUGGUCCCGAAUUCGUAUUAUACAGAGGUGUUAUCUGAAAUGUUGUGACACUUGAGACAACAUGCAGCGGAAAUAUAAAGAUUAAAAGACAGUACUCAGAAUUAAAAAUGUUCACAAGUAAAGACUUGUGAACUUGCCCUUUACAGGACGGAAAAAUAUAUUAAAAUCAGUAUUCCAAGAAUACAAACAGAAGAGGUGCGAAAACUUCUUCCUUAUGAAUGAAUCUUUUUCAAGAUCAUUCUUACAAUCAAAUCUAGAUACUAAAAGAAAAAUAUUAAAAAUUCUAGAUUUCAAAGAUGUACUCGUGAGGAGUACGUACAGAACUUAUGAAUGAAUCACUAUCUUGAUCAUUCUUACAACCAAGUCUAGAAACAUAUAUACUAAACAAUCUAGACUACAAAGAAUGUACUUAUGAGAAGUACGUAAAGAAUGUACUCAUAAGGAGUACGUAAAGAUUGUACUCAUGAGGAGUACAAACGACCGAUUCUAAAACCACUCUAAAACACUCGUGAAUAUUCUUCAGCCCUCGGUUUUUAUUUCAUAGAAUCGAUUAAUUUCCUUGAGUCUUGAAGUCGGUAUUUAUAGACAUUCCAAGCUUCCACUACUCAGCCCAUGAUCUGCAAGAAAACCAACCACAAGAGCACUCAAGAAAAUGGGUUAGUGGGUUAGUUUAAGGAGUUAGAAUAAUAUUCACAAUUAAACCCACUUAAGCACUACUUAACCCACUAACUACUAUACUUAACCCACUAAGCACUACUUAUUUAAUAAUUAAAAUUUAGUUAGAAAAAUAGGAAAGUUAAAAACAAUUCCACGUGUUUCAAACUCCCCCUUUUUAACUUUCUGAUCAAAACUAAAUUUUAGCUUAACUCCCCCUGAGUCAUUGCUUGAACUCCCCCUGAAUAUGAUAACCAAUAUAGCAAAUAACAAAAUAGUGCAAUUCAAAGUCUCCUCAGUAUCAGCUGUUGUUCCUCCAUCACUAGUACUGGAUCCACUACUUUCCUCUGCUCCUUCAGCUUCACCCUGCUUCAACUUCAUGAUCAGCUUGUUCUCCCCCUUUUUGAUCAGAAAGAGCUCUCUGAAGCAUUUCCACCAUGCACUGAUGAUAGGUGAUCUGAACUAGCGAGUGAGUAAGCUGUUUAAAAAAAAAUCUCGAGAAACAGAAAUAAGGAUGUCAGGAGUGUUGUCAACAUGAGGAGCAACACCUUCAGUAUCAAGAUUAUUUUGACCUGAUUCAUUUGAGAGGAAAUUAUCUCCAUUCCAGGGAAGAUCUUAAAAUUUUGAGAAAGCAGAAUGGAGUAGAUGAGAGAGGGAUUUAAAACGAUUGCCAAAAAGAGUUUUACGAACUUCAGUAAAAUCACCAUAAUUAUCCUCAUCAAUCAAAGUAGGAGUUUGUAAAUGAGAGUUGAUAAUUUUGGGAGAAAAAAUUGAUUCGCACAAAAAAAAACUUUUCCAAAGUUUGGAGAAUUUUUCUUUAAAAACAGUUUGUAAAUUGGCAUAAAAAUUCCUUCAUAAGGACAGACAAUCUCAACUAGACUAAGGAUUUUUCUUUGUUCAAGUCCCUAUGAAAAGCAAUUAUCCUAUGUCUAUCAAACUCAUCCUUGAAAAUUUCAUUUCCUCAAUGAAUUGGCAAUUCAUGAUUUGAGGACUCAAAUUUGAAUCAGAUUCAAAAUAAAAAGUAGGACUGAAGGCAUUGUUUACCUCAAAAGGAGUUGACAUAUUCUUCCCAUCCAAGUCUAGCUCUUCAUCCGCUGAGUGUUCCUCUUCUUCUGAUUCUUCAAGUUCAUCUGGGAUGUAUGCUGGCUCAGGUGAUGCAACAGGUGGAGCAGCAUCUUCUGCCAUUGUCAUCACUUUUCUCUUCAUCUUCAACCUGGGAAGGUGGUGCAUCCACUUGAACAGCUGCCUCUGUCAGAGUUUCCAGAGGAUCUUCAUUUGGAGCUGAGGGUGUUUCUUCAGUGGUAGUAAAAUCCUGAGCAUCAACAGUGGGAAUGUCAACAUGCUCAACAGAGGACAUCCCAGAAAAAUCAAGCAUUUCUUCAUCCUGGUAGGGAGCAGCAUCCUCAGCAACAUUUUGAGAAGCAUUGUCUGAGACAGUAGGUGCAACAGCAUUUUCAGGAACAUGUGCAGCAACACCUUCAGAAACAGGAUGUUGAGAGGCUGCUGCUGCCAUGCUAGGCUGAGAUGUCUCCCCCUGAAUUGAUGCUGGGGAAGGUGAGUCCUUUGAUGAUGACUCAGAGGAGCUGGAGAUAGAGCUUGAGCCUCCGGUGCUGCAAAGGUAGGAUCUCCUUUUUCAUCAUCAGUCUCUUCAUCAACCAAAUGAAGGCCUCUUGGUGGGUUUGGCCUAACUGGAGUGCGACCGACUCUGCCGCUUCUUCUUCCACCUCUGCCACCUCUGCUGGGAGAAUGUCCUCCCCUCCGGCGUUGUGAUCCAGUAGCAUUUAGAUCUGGGAAGGGAUUCAUGCGCUUGGACCGGCGAGUUGAAAACCUUCCUGCAUUGGAAGAGGGACCCACGUACUCGAAGUUGUCUGGGUCAAUAGGAUUCAGCUCGUCUCCGGGCUCAAUAAAGCUGAUCGGCAUAGCUUCAAGGUUGACAGGAUGAACGAUGAUGGCUAGAUUCUGGUCUGCUGGUUCAGGUGCUGCAGCAUCGUUGUGGACAUCAUCUUCGGCUGGAAGAGGAUUUCUAGGAGGAGAUGCCAUGAUACAGUAGAUAAAAAAUGCUUCUUGUGCUUUUGAUUUUUGAGUGUGAAUUUUCGAAAGAGAAGCACGAAAUUUAUAAGCCCUAAUUUGCAGAAAAAAUCGAAGUGGAGAAGGUGAAGAAGUGGUGUGCGUUUUUCUUGGAGAAAGUGUGAUUAAGGAGAAUACAGGUUUAUGUGGCAGUUUAAAACAAAACGUGACACAUGGCACAAUAAGGAGUGGACUUAGUGGAAAAUGAAAGACUAACCCAUGUACCCCAUGACCCAUAUAAAUAGUGAUAAUUCAAUAUAAAUAAUAGUAAUAGAGAUAAUAACAGUAUCACUCACGAAAUAUUCACAAAAAUAAAAAACACAUCUAUUAAUGAUUAAUAGUGUGAGAAAAAAUUGGCUAACAGGCAUAGAUUUUAUUAUAUAUAUAUAUAUAUCUAAUAUUUUUUUUUUUUUUUUUUUUUUUUUUUUUUUUUUUUUUUAACUCUUAUUUUCAAGUCAAACAAUUCACAUGGAACAUGAUCAAGUGUUCAGUUUGAAGGUUCCUCAGUUACUAAGAUAUGACUAUCAAAAUAGAGGAGUUUGACUUAUGUGAGCGUAAUUAUUCCCUAAAUGUUUACAUGAAGCAUGAUCACGUUUCAAGGUGAAAGACUUCCAGUUACUUAUUUAGAAAAAUAAUUCAUCACAGUGAAGUCAUUAUUUAAAGAAGCUAAGCUUCAGUAAAUUAUGUUGCAGCUUAAGAUAUUUGAUGAGGUGCUGCAACAUUUUUCAGGACAUGUUUAUUGAGUACACAUCCCGAGAGAUUUUCUGAGUUUAGAAAACCUCUCAUAAUCUAAUGCCUUUGUAAAGAUGUCAGCCAGCUGAUCUUCUGUAGGAAUGUACUUUAAGCACACUAUAUUUUUCUCAACUAUAUCACGAAUAAAAUGAUGUUUAAUAUCUAUGUGUUUAGUUCGUGAGUGUUGAACAGGAUUUUUUGAAAUGUCAAUAGCACUUGAAUUAUCACAAUAUAUGGUCAGGGUAUCACUGGUCAACCCAUAAUCUCCCAACAUUUGUUUCAUCCAAAUUAGUUGACCACAACAUCCUCCAGCAGCUACAUAUUCUGAUUCAGCUGUUGAAAGAGAUACACAGUUUUGCUUUCUACUAAACCAAGAAACUAGAUUAUUCCCCAAAAAGAAACAUGCACUUGAGGUGCUUUUUCUGUCACUGAUAUCCCCAGCCCAACCAGAAUCACUAAAACCUAUCAAGUUUGUAUUAGUGUCUUUGAAAAACUGAAUCCCUAAAUCUACUGUACCUGCAACAUACCUAAUAAUCCUCUUCACAGCUUUAAGAUGAGUGACUUUGGGAUUAGCUUGAUACCUGGCACACACACAAACACUAAACAUAAUGUCAGGCCUGCUUGCUGUUAGAUACAGAAGACUUCCAAUCAUGCUUCUGUAAAGGGUGCUGUCAACAUCUUCUGCAACAUCAUCCUUGGACAGUUUUUGGCUGGAACCCAUUGGAGUUUUCAUGUGCUUGGCUGACUCCAACUCAAAUCUUUUGACCAGAUUGAGAUCAUACUUCUUUUGAUUUACAAAAAUUCCUUCACCUGUCUGUUUGAUUUGGAGUCCUAGGAAGUAAUUCAACUCUCCUACCAUGCUCAUUUCAAAAGUGUGAGACAUAGAAUCUACAAAAGACUGAAAAGGGUUAGCACAAGUAGAGCCAAAAACAAUAUCAUCAACAUAUAUAUGAACACUAAUGAUAUGAUUAUUAGUUCUUCUAACAAAUAGGGUUCUGUCUGCCUCUCCUCUGUUGAACUGUAUUUCAAGUAAGAAGUCAGUGAGUCUUUGAUACCAAGCUCUAGGAGCUUGUUUAAGACCAUACAGUGCCUUCUUAAGCUUGAAAACAUGAUUAGGCUUGGCAGAAUCUUCAAAACCCUUGGGCUGUUCUACAUAUGCUUCCUCAUUUAAAACCCCAUUCAUAAAUGCAAUUUUGAUAUCCAUCUGAUACAAUUUGAUUUUAAGAAAACAGGCUAUAGCAAGAAGUAACCUAAUAGAUUCAAUUCUAGCUACUGGAGCAAAGGUUUCAUCAAAAUCUAUACCUUCAAUCUGAGUAUAACCUUGUGCUACUAACCUAGCCUUAUUUCUAACAACUGUACCUUUUUCAUCAGUUUUAUUUUUGAAGAUCCACUUAGUUCCUAUCACAUUUACAUGACUUGGUCUGGGAACUAAGUACCAAACAUCAUUCCUGAUGAACUGAUUCAGCUCUUCAUGCAUUGCAUUAAUCCAAAACUCAUCCUUCAGUGCUUCUGCAAUAUUCCUUGGUUCGACUGAAGAUACAAAGCAAGUAGUUCCAGUUAGUGUACAUUUAGAAGAUAAAUUUGCAAAUCUUACCAUAUCUCUGUAAUUCACUCUCUCUUUUCUUCUGGUCCUUAUCCCAUCAAAGAUAUCUCCUACAACUUGAGUCGAUGGGUGAUUUUUCUGGAUUCUACUUGAUGGUUCCUUUCUGCAGACAUCAUGAGUUGGCUGCAGUUCAGCUUCUAUGCUCUCUGUAGGAAGUAUUGAGUCAGAUGUGGUAACACUUGUCUCAACACCCUCUUCUCUUGACACUGGACUGUUUAUAUCUGGAGCAUCUGUGGCAGUAGUGUCUCCUCCUGUUGUUUCUCCUUCAGCAAUCAGAUCAUCAACUUCAUCUUCGGCUGUUUUACUGCGGAGAUCAACAAAGUCAUCAAAUACCACAUUUACAGAUUCAAUAAUGGUUCGAGUUCUUAAGUUGUAUACUCUAUAAGCAUGACUGUUAUUAGAGUAUCCCACAAAUAAACUCAAAUCACUUUUUGAACCAAAUUUAGCUAGAUGAUCUCUGUCAUUUAGGACAAAGCAAACACAUCCAAACACAUGCAUGUAUUCUAGAUCAGAUUUUUCUCUUAAAAAAUACACCAAAGUAUAUCUCGAAAAAUCAUCAACACACACAAAUACAUAUUUUUUACCACCUAGGCUUUCUACCUCUAUAGGACCCAUAAGAUCCAUAUGUACAAGUUCAAAACAAAUGGUGGUUCCAACGGGUUGUAACACUUUGUGUGGUACUCUAGUUUGCUUUCCCUUCUGGCACAUUCCGCAUAUAGGGAUGUCCUUGAUCUUGAGAUCAGGAAUUCCUCUUAUGGCAUUGUACUUAUUGAGCAGCUUCAGAUUUUUGAAGUUUGUGUGCCCAAGUUUCUGGUGCCACAGCUCUACUUCACUUACUCUUGAAUUCUUGCAUGAGAUGGUGUCACCUGUUUGAUAGCAAUUAUCCAUUGAUCUGGAACCUGUAAGUACACAAUGAUUUUGAUUAUCAAACACAGAACAACAGUAUUUAUCAAAUUCUACACGUAGAUCAUCAUCACACAAUUGACUGAUACUGAUGAGGUUUGAUCCCAAUCCUUCAACAUGUAGGAUAUUUGAAAGUUUUGGAAGUCCCUCAAUACUGAGUGUUCCUCGUCCAACCACUUUGCCUUUAGCUCUUCCUCCAUAGGUUACACGUCCUCCAUUGAGUGUAUGGUAGUUUGAUAGAAACUCUUUAGUUCCAGUCAUGUGCCUAGAGCAUCCACUAUCAAAGUACCAUGAACCUGAAAUGUUAGCAUUUAAAGAGGUGUAUAUUGCUUUGCACAUAAGUUUACCUUUGGGAGUCCAUAUUCUACACUCCUUUUUGGUAAAUUCUACCUUUUUCUUGGAGGUGUUCCCUAGAGUGUUGUGACUCAUCCUGUACAACAUUUUGUCACUACUUAGUUUCUCACACAAUGGACGGGUAUGUCCUGGUGAGAAACAGUCAUGACAAAUGUAUCCCCUUAUUCUGGACUCUGAAGUGGUGACUGUGGAAUUUCUGCAUUCUUUUCCAUUUGAACCCUUCUCUUUUACAAAGACAUUCUCCUUCUUCUUUACUGGCUUGUGUUUCUUCACUUGGUUUUUGAAUCCUAGACCUUCAUUUUUGUUGUACUUCUCCAGUGACACAAUCUCUUUGAGUUUAAUUGUGUCGGUAUUCAUCCUCUUGAUUGCUAGAGUCGCUUCUUUGAGUUCAUCUUUCACCUUUGCCAGUUCAAGAUCCUUCUUGGUGAUACCAACCUCCAAAUGAGUGAUUGUUUCUUUGAGAGAAGGAUUUUCCUUGUUGGUUGCAUCUAGAGCUUGAGUCUUCUUCUCCAAGUUUCUGAUCAGCUUCUUACACAUUUCUUCAUCAUCACUGACUGCUUCAUUACUAGAUUCUGCUGCAUUCACAGAAAUAGAGUUUAAACAUGUAUAAUGAUCAGUAUUUAACUCACAAAUUGAAAGUGUUUCAGAAAGUGUUGCAGCAUCCAGGGAGACUCCUUGGGAUUCUGUUUCAGUGGAACUUCCAGUAAGAUAUCUGGCAGAAAGAGCUUGUUUAGAGGAUUGCUGUUCCUCUGUCUGUUCAGGUUGUUCUUCCUCCUCAUCACUGACAGCACAAAUCAAACUCAUUCCUCUCCUUCUCAAGGUAUUUGCACAUUCAUUAGCAUAAUGUCCAAAUCCUGAACAGGCCCUGCAUUUAAUAUGAUCCAAGUUAGGUGGUUCAGAAUUUGAACGAAUAAAAGAAGAAUUUUUUAAAUUGUUUUGAGAAGGUGUUUGAGGAAAUGUUCUCUGUGGAAUAGAUCUGUUCCGGGGCUGAGUUUGUCGAUUUUGUGGAGACCCUUCUGAAAAUAACUGCCUGGGCUUGAUUCCACUUCGUCUGUACGCCCUAUUGAAUUUCUGAAUCUGAGAUGCCACAUUGUUGAGGCAUUCUUCUGCAUCAUCAUCAUAUUCCGGAGCAACAUCUUCCUUCUCUAAUUCUGCCUGGAGUGCAUUUGAGAUAGCCUUUCCUUUCUCCUUUCUUUGAUCUUCGAAGUUCAUCUCUCUGGACUUGAGACUUCCUAUUAAUUCGUCCAGCCGUAGAGAUGAUGUAUCUUUAGCCUCCUCAAUAGCAGUAACCGUCAUGCUGAACCUUUCUGGAAGAGUUCUCAAUACCUUAUUCACUAGUGUCUCGUUGCUCAAAGGACCACCUAAGGA